UACGUAGGCAGCGAGCGUUGUUCGGAAUUACUGGGCGUAAAGAGUGUGUAGGCGGUGCUCUAAGUUCGGUGUGAAAUCUCCCGGCUUAACUGGGAGGUGCGCCGGAAACUGGAGUGCUCGAGCGUGGGAGAGGAAAGCGGAAUUCCUGGUGUAGCGGUGAAAUGCGUAGAUAUCAGGAGGAACACCUGCGGUGUAGACGGCUUUCUGGACCAUUGCUGACGCUGAGACACGAAAGCGUGGGGAGCAAACAGG
rnacentral:rRNA from 1 species